CCCUUAGAUGUUCUGGGCGGCCCGCGCACUACAAUGGCGUGUGCAGCGAGUGCCGAAGUAGAGUUUUCCGAGGUAUUCUUGCAAUGCUCGUUUUGAUGGGGAUAGACCCUUGCAACUGUUGGUUUUGAACGAGGAAUUCCUUGUAAGCAUGGUUUAUCAUCCGACGCUGAAUGCGUCCCUGCCCUUUGUACACACCGCCCGUCGCUCCUACCGACGAGUCGUCCGGUGAAGUUCGUAGACCUCGUGAUCGCGGAUCACUGGGGGAAGCAAAAUGAACCUCGCGGUUUAGAGGAAGGAGAAGUCGUAACA
rnacentral:rRNA from 1 species